GUGUUGCAUGAAACGAGAGAAGGUUAGCACUCCCCUUGAGAAGGGUGGAAGAAGUCCUAGUGACCUGUACAACACGUAAAUGGUUAAGGCAUUGCCACCUACUUCGUGGCGUCUAACCAGGUUAUUUC